rnacentral:tRNA from 1 species
GUGACCGUAGUUCAGUUGGUAGAGCACCGGAUUGUGAUUCCGGUUGUCGUGGGUUCGAGCCCCAUCGGUCACCCCA